GGAAGGAUCAUUACUGCACUGAAAAGUCUCUUGCGUGUGUUGUCGGCGUCUGUUUUCGAAUUAUAUCUGGUUUUAUUGCAACGUAAUCAAUCAUGAGUCCAAGCAACGGAUAUCUUGGUUCCCACAACGAUGAAGAACGCAGCGAAAUGCGAUACGUAAUGUGAAUUGCAGGUUAAGUGAAUCAUCAAAUGUUUGAACGCAAGUUGCGCCGCCCGGCGGCAUGCUUCUUUGAGUGUCGGUUUCUUUCUGUUGGGCGAUUCGCACGAAUUGUCUUGGUACGCUGUCAGGUCCCGUUGAAAUACGUGGGCACUCUGAGCAUCGACAAAAAGACCUCAAAUGAAGUAAGACGACCCGCUGAAUUUAAGCAUAUAAUUAAGCGGAGGAAAAGAAACUAACGAGGAUUCCCUCAGUAACGGCGAGUGAAGCGGGAAGAGUUCAAACCUGGAAUCGUCGGCCCUCGACGAAUUGUGGUGUGUAGACGCGUGUCUCAGCGGCUGUGCCGAUGGAAGUGGACUGGAAAGUCGCAUCAGAGAGGGUGAAAAUCCCGUUCGACAUUGGGCACGCAGUCGCGUUCGAGCCGUCGUCUGUGAGUCGGGUUGCUUGGGAGUGCAGCCCUAAGUGGGUGGUAAAUUCCAUCUAAAACUAAAUAUGUGUGGGAGACCGAUAGCGAACAAGUACCGUGAGGGAAAGAUGAAAAGAACUUUGAAAAGAGAGUUAAACAGUACUUGAAAUUGUUUGGAUUGAAGGGAUGACGCCCAGUGGCGGUCAGGAUGGCUUGGCGGCGGGCUUGUUGCCUGCGGGGGUAGGUGGCUCCUCGGAGUGUUUUAGCCCCGCUGGCAAAGCUCGCCGGCGAGCGAGGUCGCGGAUAGAUCCUGACCAAAUGGUCGUCAUUCACCCGUCUUGAAACACGGACCAAGGAGUCUUACAUGUGUGCGAGUGUUAGUGUGUCGAAGCAUUACCGCGCAAUGAAAGUGAAUUCGUUCAAACGAGGGCGACUACGGUACGACCCGGAGCGCACAUGCAGGGACCCGAAAGAUGGUGAACUAUGCCUGGGCAGGAUGAAGCCAGGGGAAACUCUGGUGGAGGUCCGAAGCGAUACUGACGUGCAAAUCGUUCGUGUGAGCUGGGUAUAGGGGCGAAAGACUAAUCGAACCGUCUGGUAGCUGGUUCCCUC
rnacentral:misc_RNA from 1 species